rnacentral:rRNA from 1 species
UACAGAGGUCCCGAGCGUUGUUCGGAUUUACUGGCGUAAAGGGCGCGUAGGCGGCCACCGCAAGUCGACUGUGAAAUCUCCGGGCUUAACCCGGAAAGGUCAGCCGAUACUGCGGGCUAGAGUGCAGAAGGGCAACUGGAAUCUCGGUGUAGCGGUGAAAUGCGUAGAUAUCGAGAGGAACACCUGCGGCGAAGGCGGGUGCUGGGCUGACACUGACGCUGAUGUGCGAAAGCUAGGGGAGCGAACGGG